GUGUAAUCAGAACUGCUUUGUUGACAACACAACUUAACUUUAAAAGCAACGUUUACUGAAACGCGUGCUACUCUACAGUAUAGGCGAUGAAUUGGAACUUGACAAUACAUUCCUGCUGUUGCAACACUUAAAUCUAUCUGGUACAUAUCUAGGAAUUAUGGAUAUGUUACCUACUAGCAUCAUAAAGAAAUCUCUGGCGAUCGAUACUGACUGCCAGUCACUAUAUAGGUAGUAGCCACAAGUGGUACCCCUGAUAAUCUGUGAGAUGGAGGAUUCCUUUUAUAAGCUGUCGGUAAAACAAGUAUGGGAUACCUACAGCAGACUGGCAUCAGCAGUGGAGACCGACACAUCACACCACUAUCAACAGAUGAAGAGAGCAUCCCUGGAUUUAUCUCUACACCUUGUAUAUCAACAUCUCUGUCAUGGAGGA